rnacentral:rRNA from 1 species
UACGGAGGAUGCGAGCGUUAUCCGGAUUUAUUGGGUUUAAAGGGUGCGUAGGCGGGCUUUUAAGUCAGCGGUAAAAAUUCGGGGCUCAACCCCGUCCGGCCGUUGAAACUGGGGGUCUUGAGUGGGCGAGAAGAAGGCGGAAUGCGUGGUGUAGCGGUGAAAUGCAUAGAUAUCACGCAGAGCCCCGAUUGCGAAGGCAGCCUUCCGGCGCCCUACUGACGCUGAGGCACGAAAGUGCGGGGAUCGAACAGG